CCCCACCCCCAGCCCUCAGUCGCCCCCCGGGGGUAGGAAGGAAAAAGGGCUAGAGCCGAGGGGGAAGGGGCUGAGAUUUCCCCGGCUGGAUCCGCUAAAGGCCCAAGAGAAGGGGAUUUCAGUUUUGAGCUGGAAGUGAGUCGCUUGCGUCUGGCAUCCCUUAGUCCGCGCCCCCGGCCGGAGGGACCGCGCUGGCCCUCGAGGAGGUUUGGGACUGUGCCCGCUGCGCUUGGGCCCCGGCGACCACUUAGAAAUCCCCACGCGCCUCCCCCACCCCCCGCCCCUGUCCAUCCGGCGGGGUGCCUGCGGGUCGCGCUGCCCUCCGCCCGCCUGCUCUACGCCGCGCUCCCUCCCGCGCUUGCUGGGCGCCCAGGCCAGUCCCAGGGGCUCGAAAGCCAGGGACCCGGAUGGGACCCUCCAGAAGCCCUGAUGGGGCAAGCCUUCCGGAAGACAGAAGACAUGUGAAACGAGCUGUUACAAAAGGACGCUAAGGGUUUUUCUACUGCCCCUCCUAUCUCCUGUCAUAGAUUCAGUUUUCCAGGAAGUCAGCAUAUAGUGAGCCAACAGCUAUCCUGUCUCCUCCGAGAAAAAGCAAAUUGGUUUCCAUCACUACCUGGCCGGCAGAAUCAGUUUACAGGAUGUAGUCAUGUACGGAUGUGAGAGUUGAACCAUGAAGAAGGCUGAGCCCUGAAGAAUUGAUGCUUUCCAAUUGUACUACUGGAGAAGACUCUUGAGAGUCUGUUGGGCAGCAAGGAGAUCAAACCAAUCAAUCCUAAAGGAAAUCAGUCCUGAAUAUGUAUUAGAAGGACUGAUGCUGAAGCUGCCACCUGGUGCGAAGAGUCAACUCAUUGGAAAAG
ensembl:lncRNA